CAUGGCUUGUUUAUGGUCACCGAGAUUCGAGCUUUCAGCCACUGUGACUGUGGAUUUUGAAUGGCGAGAAGGGAUAGCAGCCAAAGAAUAGCCAUCUGUUGCCAAGCGAAGCAAGAUCCAAGGUUUGGAAAUUGAGUUGAAGAAGUUGGAGGAUUCCAUCAAGUCUAUACAUGAAGAGAUGAUAUAUUUGCGAGAAAGGGAGGGUGAGGCACAAAGCUUAAACGAAUCCACAAACUCGAAAAUGAGCCUUUUGAGUAUGGCAUCUCUUCUUGUUUGCCUAGGAGUUGCAGGCUUGCAGUUUGGGCAUUUCAAGGUCUUUUUCGUGAGACAAAAAAUCAUAUGACAAGGUAGUGGCUGAAAAUCUACAUCGAUGUGUGAUCUUGGAACUACAAGUACGUGUUUCUUUAUUUCUUCAUCCUCAAACAAAUCUCUAUGUAAAAAUUUUAUUUCUUGAUGAACUGGUUUUCUUGUAUCCAUUUUUCCACCAUUAAGUCAUCAUGUUUUUGCUUCGAUUUA